UGACAAGACAUUAAUAAGCUAGGUAGCUACCUAGCUAAAGAUAAUUAGCAGGUGGCUAACAAGCAAACAAUUUAAAGCUGAAUGAUUUUAAUAUUAACACAAAAUAAGUUCAAUACACCUUAAAUAUUUUACCCUACUAUGAGCUGUUCCUUAAUUUACAUUAGCACUCCUUCAGGAGCAUAAUACAAUUAAACACAUUAACCAAAGCUAGCACUUAGCUAGCGAUUAGCGGUUAGCACUUAGCUAGCGAUUAGCGCAGAGCUAGCCAUUAGCGCAGAGCUAGCCAUUAGCGCAGAGCUAUGGUAGCACGUAGACAUGGUAUUAACAUAUGGGCCAGAGCAAGGCACAAUCAAAAUUGCUUUAGGAAUUUUCUAGUUAUUGUGCCUUGCAUAAGCAAGCACAAUACUAUUAUUCCCCAUACUUAUUAUAAUAUUUUAUUCUUCCGUACGCUUUUUCGGCGCGCUUCUUCUCCCAGAGCUUUGAUCGCACGUACACAAAAAAGGUAUCAAAACGUGCGGCUCGGCCGGGAAUCGAGUGCUAUGACUUUUCUAAGAAUUUCGCCAAACGGUUCGCCGGUAAAUCGCCAAAAACCGGUCCAAAAAAUGAAUGGGUGUGUAUUGCGAGAACCUCCAACCGAAAAAAACUGCCAGAGUGCGUGACAUCAUCGCUAGAGUGUGGGGAGAGAGAAAAAUUUGUCGAAAAAUAAAUUUGUAAACUGCUGUCAUGGCCACAAAUUUCACUGUACAGAAAUAAUUUAUAGAUAGAAACGUAGGUAAAUUCGUUGGGGUCGCAGUGAUACUACUGCUGAAGCUGUCAGACAAAUAGUUUUGGCGGGAGACGCACUGAUGCGCCAGCAACUCCCUCUCAUGGCCCCAUCUACUCCCAUGUUAAAAUGGAGAGGAGGAUUCUUGAAAAACGCUCGUUGAACCUCUUCUCUCUCAAUCUCCCCAGGUCACAUUUUUUAACUUUAACCACUGAAACUCGGCAGCGCUAUAGUCAACAAGAUGACGACGCUCACGGUCUUUUCGGUUUUCAUUUCGGUCGUUCCUGGCCAUGCUUUUGAGGGGAUUCAUUUUAAAUGUUUUCUGUCUCUCUGAGGAGUUAGAGACAGAGAGAGAGCGUGCGCAGCUGCUGUGGGCUCCCCUGAUUGCCAUGACAACCAAAGCCUGCUCACACACACACACACACACACACAGCUAGCUACAGAGAAUGACAAGACAUUAAUAAGCUAGCGCUAGCUGGCUAGCUAAAGAUAAUUAGCAGGUGGCUAACAAGCAAACAAUUUAAAGCUGAAUGAUUUUAAUAUUAACACAAAAUAAGAACAAUACACCUUAAAUAUUUUACCCUACUAUGAGCUGUUCCUUAAUUUACAUUAGCACUCCUUCAGGAGCAUAAUACAAUUAAACACAUUAACCAAAGCUAGCACUUAGCUAGCGAUUAGCGCUUAGCUAGCGAUUAGCAUGUAGCUAGCGAUUAGCGCUUAGCUAGCGAUUAGCAUGUAGCUAGCGAUUAGCGGUUAGCUAGCGAUUAGCGGUUAGCUAGCGAUUAGCACGUAGCUAAGCGCUAGCUUUGGUUUAUGUGUUUAUGUGUGCUAGCUCUAGCUAGCUAACUAAAGAGAAUGACAUGAUAUUAAUAUGCUAGCGCUAGCUAAGGAGGAUGACAGGUUAUCAAUAUGCUAUAGGGAGGAUUACAUGGCAUUAAUAAUCUAGCGCUAGCUGGCUAGCUAAAGAUAAUUAGCAGGUGGCUAACAAGCAAACAAUUUAAAGCUGAAUGAUUUUAAUAUUAACACAAAAUAAGAACAAUACACCUUAAAUAUUUUACCCUACUAUGAGCUGUUCCUUAAUUUACAUUAGCACUCCUUCAGGAGCAUAACACAAUUAAACACAUUAACCAAAGCUAGCACUUAGCUAGCGAUUAGCGGUUAGCUAGCGAUUAGCACGUAGCUAAGCGCUACCUUUGGUUAAUGUGUUUAUGUGUGCUAGCUCUAGCUAGCUAGCUAAAGAGAAUGACAUGAUAUUAAUAUGCUAGCGCUAGCUAAGGAGGAUGACAGGUUAUCAAUAUGCUAUAGGGAGGAUUACAUGGCAUUAAUAAGCUAGCGCUAGCUGGCUAGCUAAAGAUAAUUAGCAGGUGGCUAACAAACAAACAAUUUAAAGCUGAAUGAUUUUAAUAUUAACACAAAAUAAGAACAAUACACCUUAAAUAUUUUACCCUACUAUGAGCUGUUCCUUAAUUUACAUUAGCACUCCUUCAGGAGCAUAAUACAAUUAAACACAUUAACCACAGCUAGCACUUAGCUAGCGAUUAGCAUGUAGCUAGCGAUUAGCGCUUAGCUAGCGAUUAGCAUGUAGCUAGCGAUUAGCGGUUAGCUAGCGAUUAGCGGUUAGCUAGCGAUUAGGACGUAGCUAAGCGCUAGCUUUGGUUUAUGUGUUUAUGUGUGCUAGCUCUAGCUAGCUAACUAAAGAGAAUGACAUGAUAUUAAUAUGCUAGCGCUAGCUAAGGAGGAUGACAGGUUAUCAAUAUGCUAUAGGGAGGAUUACAUGGCAUUAAUAAUCUAGCGCUAGCUGGCUAGCUAAAGAUAAUUAGCAGGUGGCUAACAAACAAACAAUUUAAAGCUGAAUGAUUUUAAUAUUAACACAAAAUAAGAACAAUACACCUUAAAUAUUUUACCCUACUAUGAGCUGUUCCUUAAUUUACAUUAGCACUCCUUCAGGAGCAUAAUACAAUUAAACACAUUAACCACAGCUAGCACUUAGCUAGCGAUUAGCGCUUAGCUAGCGAUUAGCAUGUAGCUAGCGAUUAGCGCUUAGCUAGCGAUUAGCAUGUAGCUAGCGAUUAGCGGUUAGCUAGCGAUUAGCGGUUAGCUAGCGAUUAGCACGUAGCUAAGCACUAGCUUUGGUUUAUGUGUUUAUGUGUGCUAGCUCUAGCUAGCUAACUAAAGAGAAUGACAUGAUAUUAAUAUGCUAGCGCUAGCUAAGGAGGAUGACAGGUUAUCAAUAUGCUAUAGGGAGGAUUACAUGGCAUUAAUAAUCUAGCGCUAGCUGGCUAGCUAAAGAUAAUUAGCAGGUGGCUAACAAACAAACAAUUUAAAGCUGAAUGAUUUUAAUAUUAACACAAAAUAAGUUCAAUACACCUUAAAUAUUUUACCCUACUAUCAGCUGUUCCUUAAUUUACAUUAGCACUCCUUCAGGAGCAUAAUACAAUUAAACACAUUAACCAAAGCUAGCACUUAGCUAUCGAUUAGCGCUUAGCUAGCGAUUAGCACGUA